AAAUCUCCGGUAGGUGAGGCUACCAUCGGGAUACGGAUUGCUACCGACAAAAUGUGGAGACACAUUGUCGCGCGGUUAGCAGACGGCGUCGAAACCAAGGCGCAGUCUAACGCAAUUUCAUCGCCCGAUGAUGCUAAAGCUUGU
rnacentral:sRNA from 1 species